GCUCGGCUGUGAGGGGAAAGCGGAUCAGAGCCCACCCGGGGCAUUCCCACACGGGGACACCUCAGGGAGGACGAGGAAAAUGGCCCACACGCCCUGACUGCGUGAGGGAGAGGGAAGGAGCAGCCGCUUACCCACAGGCUUGCAGGUCCACUCGCCCUUGCCGUUGCCCAGGCACACACACUCCAGCAUGUAGCCGCCCGUUUCGUGGGGCCGGCGCCAUGUAUCGCCGAUCUUGUAGGACUGGCCGCCCUCAUGGCAGCGAUCUGUGGUGGCACACAGGGGAGCCAAGGUGAGGGACACGCCAGGGACGGCAUGGUGGUGACAAGGGAACCAAAAGUUGCACAAGGCAGGCAUGCCUGAAAGCAUCAAUCCCAGCUGUUUGAAGGCAACAGAAGACAGGAGGGAGCAAACAACCCCUGGAAACUGUGUGCUUUGUCAUGCUAAUCCUCCUCACUCUGAUUUAGCAAAAACUGAGUAGGUUAAUCCCAAAUUCUGCAGCAGUCCCACCAAAGAAGUCAACAGCAAAGUUCACUACUUGUGCAUUGCUCACAUUGAUGCUUAGAUAAGUGAUUACAGAACAUCAGUGCUGCCACCAGACUCAAGAUGUGAAGCAGAACAACUUUCUGCACUGCUGGGCAGAUAAAGUUCAUUGUAUCAUAAGGAAAACUUUCUAUUGGACUUCAUAACUGUAAAACUUGGGAAUCUCUGCAGGGGAAGGAAAAGUAGUUUGAAUCCUCUUUUAUGGAGUAAGGGGACUGAGUACUCCUUAAAAUACUCCAGUCGUGAGGCAGACAGCACACAAACCUUGCAGAACAGAUGGCUGAGAUGCUCACAUCUGUCUUACAUGAACACUGUCAGCCAGGAACCAGUUUUUCAUCUCGUCUAUCUCCAGAGCAACAUAAAGGAAUUAUGGCAAACUAGUGGCUUCAGACCAAUAAAUACAGAUAGAUUGCAUCUGAUAAACUGAACCACACCGAAUCCUGGAGAGACACAUCCUCCAGCAGACCUUGCAUUUAAACUUCUUUCUGUUCCCUAAACUUUUUCUGCACAGACUAAACAAUCUCAUUUUACACUCAAUUAUAGAAAGCUCACAGCACGGCCGGGAGGCUGUGGAAAGUUGUAAGUUGAAAUAUUUUUAAACAAGCUGACGACACUGCACAGCUAUGAAAAGUUGGGGUGAAGCAAUCAAACAGAGCAGAGCCAGAGCUGCAAAGUGACUCCAGAUUUGAACUUCCCCGUGCGAGUCCAGGAGUCAGUUCAGUUCAUUAUAAAGAAGAGGUUGGCUCCAAAAUUAAUGUUUAGAUCUAAUCCUCCAGAGAGAUGAGUGAUGUUUGGCUCAGGGUUCUGGUGGCAGGCCCAUCUCUAAUGAAAAGCAUUUCUUAAAAUCACAAGCCAGAUCUUCAGUGUAAUUGAGUGUAGAUCCCAUUACUGACCCUAAGUACCGAACUUCAGUGGAAAGCCUGGGCUGCCAGCCCUGACUCGUACAAGGCUUGGCUUACUCGACACCAAAAGCCGCGCUGGGGUCUCGACGCAGACAAAAGGGGCCACCAACUUACGUUCGGGCUUGCUCUCGCAGUUGAACCCUCGGCUCCCACCGUAGCAGGUACAGACCAGAGUGUUCCCCAGCGCUGCCUGUAAGCGGAUACUGCUCCGUUCUGCACUAGGGAGAAGAAUUCUCCUCUCAAGAGCAGCCAGCACCUCUGAGUGCUGGGCAGAGGGAUGGCUUCAUAGUUUGGCUUACACUUUCUUGGCUACACUUUUCCUAUAAUGGCAUGGCAGCAGUGGUCAGGUAUUCUGAUACUCACUUGGAAAACAAUACUGAGGGGACCCAGGGAAGAAAG